ACUCACAGUAACCGCGGCUCUGAGAGGAAUACGGCGGACUGCAGCCGAUCGUCCCGUACAUGGCCAGAAUAUUAAUGAUGGCCGACUGCAGCUGACUGAGCACCAGCACCAGCUUUGGAAAAGCAGAAAGGCAUCAUGGGAGACAACAACCGAGUGAGAUAGCGAGCAGGAGUUGAGACUCACCUGAUACAUGGCGUAUUUGGGGAUGAUCUUCACGCUGCGUAACGUGUUGCGCACGUGCAUGAACAUGAUGGCAACGGGCCACAGGGCGAUGAUGGUGAGGAUGCCAACGCCCGGGUUGAUCCAGAUCGCAGCACCGCUGAUCGUCAUCUGAAAACACACACACACACACACACACACACACACACACACACACACACACACACACACACACACACACACACACACACACACA